rnacentral:rRNA from 1 species
AAGGCCUUCGGGUUGUAAAGCACUUUCAGUUGUGAGGWAAAGUGCAGUAGUCUAAUACCUGCUCAYCGUGMWCGUUAACAACAGAAGAAGCACCGGACUAACUCCGUGCCAKCAGCCGCGGUAAUACGGMKGGUGCGAGCGUUAAUCGGAAUUACUGGGCGUAAAGMGCACGCAGGCGGUUUGUUAAGCUAGAUGUSAAAGCCCCGAGCUCAACUUYKGAUGKUCAUUUAGAACUGGCAGACUAGAGUCUUKGAGAGGGGAGUGGAAUUCCAGGUGUAGCGGUGAAAUGCGUAGAUAUCUKKAGGAACAUCAGUGGCGAAGGCGACUCCCUGGCCAAAGACUGACGCUCAUGUGCGAAAGUGUGGGUAGCGAACAGGAUUAGAUACCCUGGUAGUCCACACCGUAAACGCUGUCUACUAGCUCGUUUGUGCCUUUAAGCCGUGAGUAGC